AGUAGUGUGGUAAACCAGGCAAUCCUGCAAUAUGUGACAUCUGACCCAUGAAGACUAGGACACUGACUCUGUGCCACAUUUGGCCUACACAGGGCCCCCUAGCACACAGCUGCCUUAUGCUUACAAUGCUUCCCACCUGUCCCACGGCCCAGGCUGCACACAGGCCUGUUCUCUCCAUAAGUGUUUUCUCCCACUGUUUUCCCUUCUCUUCUGGCUGUGCCUCUAAUGCUGUCAUUCAUUCAGCAACUACCAUGUGUAAAACUUAAUGAAGAACGCCACAGGAGAGUCUCUGAUAAGGACUUGGAGCUUGAAUCUUUUGUUAAUUGCGCCUAGAGAGCUCUGUCUGCUGUUGGCACAAAUCUCUCUUGUUAGCCCCUUCUGGUUUGCCCUCUAACUGAGGGCUUUUUCUCCACCUCUCACAGAUGCACUCUUGGAAUGUCUGCCCUGCCAGACAAAGGACUUCUCUACAGCCCAAAAUCACUGGCUUCAGUUUGGGUCGGGACUGGCAACCUAGUCUCAGUCUCAGGUGAAGAAAAACAGGGCCAGGGUUGGCAGAAUGGUGCAAGGAGUCGAGGACUCUUUAACUUCUCCCCGUUCCACCUCCAAACGGGGCCUUUUUUCCUGGCAAGCUCAGGUCCUACAUGGUCAGAGCAGGGCCAGGGUCACAGCCAAUCCCUAUCUCCUUCCCUCUUAGGUAACAGAGAAGAAAGGCCCAGUCUAGCCUUGGGUCCAAUGAGAAUGAAACCUUGAAGUGGCUUAUUUGGACCAGAGACUGGAGCUAGUUUCUACCCUGCCAAGAGGCAGGGAAAGGUUCCUUCUCCAGAGCUUGGAGAUGCCAGCCUUGCGGAUUCCCAAAGGUCUGUGGCUCUGUGUCCAGCCUCCUGCUCCAGAGCCCCAGGCAGAGUCCUGGAGACUAGACACAACCAGCCAAAGGCUCUGGGAGACCACAGGGGCUGGGGACGAAGCUCCUGGCCCAGAAGCUGUGGCAGAGAGCUGUGUAUUAGCUGCAUGGCCUCUAAGUGGCAGGAGCAAGAGUCCAGGAAGGAAGGGGAGGUCCGGAGCAAGGACUGCUGGACCAGGCUUGUGGCAACCACUCUGCCACGCUCUUCCCUGGGCCGUGCAGCUUAACUCUCUUCACACUCGUGAGGCAGGACUAUGUCCAACUUAAUAGAUAAUAAAUCUGAGUCUCAGGUCACACAACUUUCCCCAAAACACACGAUCUACAGACUCCAGAGCCUGUUCAGACACCGAGGCUGCUGGGAAGAGGCCCCUGCAGCCUUGUCAAGGGCCCCAGCUACCUGUGUGGAGUCUGUGGUCAAGCUCACGCCUAACAUCCAAGUCGUGUCUAUCAUGAGGAGUUACUGGACAGUUGAAUGUCAAGUGACUUCACCCCUUACCCUCACUCCACUCCUGUCUCCUACAGGUACCCCCACCCUUCUGCCCUUCUCACCCUAAGCUGGCCACAUCCCAAACCCAUCGGAUAAUGGGUUUUACUAGUACGAAUGCAUUCCAAAGGGAGGGGGGUCCAGCCCAGUCGUAGCUACCACAGCUGCUAGAGGUUUGUCCCAACCUUUAGUGCUUUGGGCUUCUUUGUCUGCCUCCCACCAACAUUCCCUCUCCUUUCUGCAGCAGAUUCCCACGCCAUUGGAGCCUAGCAUAAGGAACAGUCCCCAGCUCGUCACAGCUUUGCUGCGCCCCCACACCUCAUCUCCCCUCUCCCUGACUGCCUCCUCCUCACCAGCAUGGGGAUUUGGCUGGAGUAGCUUGAGCUUUGAAUUUUAGAACAAAUCCAGAGAACCCAGUAGCCCAGGGGGACCUGGGAAGAGGCUAACAACACCGGAGGUCAUGUGACUGCCUUUGGCUUCUUAUUGCUCCUCAGGCCUUGCUUAGCACUGAAUUGGGGCCCCUGCCCUCCAGAGCCAAGGGGUAGGGGGUGGAGGGCAGCACAACCACAAAUAAUACCACAUAAGAAACUCUAGAGCUGACCUAGGCAUACAGCCCCAUGUUUUGCUUGGCGAGCGAUCCACACCACGAACAGGGACAUGCUGGCUGCUUAGUCCGCACUGAAGGAUGAAAUCGCCUUCAGCUUCUCCGUGCCUCACAUGAUGAUCGGCCUGCACCAUCUUGACCUAUUCCAGGGUGGUUGGAAAGCUAUGAAUCAAACAACAGAUGGGACAGUGCAGGGGCACCUCCUGGUCUCUAUGGUUACCAAGAGCAGCCUUGCCACGGAGAACCUGGAGUGUAAACAGCAGGAACCGGGUCUGCUGCUGCCAUGUCUGGAAGGAGGCCUCACACAAGGGCAAGGGAGGAAAGGGUGGGGCCCCUGCAGGCUCCCCAGGCCAGAAGGAUGAACUUCUUUACCUGAAAACAAAUUUCCCAGAGAAAGAGUCAACUAGAUGUGAAUGUGCCUUUCACAUGUGCUCGUUCCCCAUUUAAUAAGGAAGUUCUGUGAGAAGAAGCAGUUGCAGCCUCGAGAGGUGAAAUUCUGCCCUGGAAAAUAAGACGGGUGAACUGCUAAGUCCAGAAUGAAGACCAGACACCAGGAAGCCUGAAGCCAAAUGUCCUCAAGCCAAACCUUGGAGCAGCCAGAGGCAGGAGCGAUCAGGCAGGGGACAGCCAUCCAGAACAUUCUGGAAUCACCAUCUGAGGAGCAGAGGGGAGCUGUGUGUGCAGCCAGCCGUGGUCAGACAGAGGAAAUGCAGGGUCUGGCUGCUGGCCAUUCUUACCCUCGCUCCCACCAUCAGGAUCUCUGGCCCCAUCCUGACCCCUGGUGGCUGCCCGUGGGAUGAGACAGACAGAGCAUGAGCAUGGGAGGGGCAGAGAAAGAGGGAGACAUAGAAUCUGAAGCAGGCUCCAGGCUUUGAGCCGUCAGCACAGAGCCCAACUCGGGGCUCAAAUUCACGGACCACAGGAUCAUGACCUGAACCGAAGUCGGAUGCCCAACCAACUGAGCCACCCAGGCGCCCCUACAGUUACAUUUCCAUUGGACUGAAUGCAGCCCCUAGGUUUACAAAAGGCUCCAAAGCCCCAGAGUCUUCAUGGCACUACCAAGGACGAACGCUUGUUCACCAUUCAAAAACAAUACACCCCUCAUACCACCCUUCCCCCUUCGGAGAGACAACCCAGGGAGAAAUAGUCAGCAGAGGUGGAAGAUGGUGAGACCUGGAAAAGCACUGGUGAAGCCAGGCUUCCUGCAGGGCCCCAUCUCAGGCUUCCCCAGAAAGUGCAAGCAGGGGAGCUUUCUGGCCCCCUGCAGCAGUUACUUCUGGAGGACAGUGGGUUUGGUGGACACAGGCAUCCAUGCCCAAAGGCUUCCUGGCUUCAGUCCAAGCGGCUGGCAGGUUCAUCCUUCUCCCUAGAGCCCCACGAACACCACUUCCGGCCCUCCUGUCUCUGCUUGGGCUCUAGCUGCCUGGAUUUCUAUGCCCAUGCCAGGCCUUCCCUGUGCAGAGCUUUCUCGCUCUCCCUUACAACCCUUAUUCACUCGCACUCUCCCUAUCUAUUUCUUUCUCCCUCCUCCUCCUCCCCUGCUUCUCUCCUCCUUGCCAACCCUCAGCAGUCCCAGAAUGGGUCCUCCCUCCCUCCCCCACAGCAUCUCCCCCUCCUUAGCUCUCACCCCUGCACCUUUCUUUGUAUUCCUUUCGCCCUCUCCCGGCCUCGCCUGUAUCUCUCCUCCCCCGCCUGCCUUCAGCCUCCCCCAGCCUCCCCAUCUUCAGCUCAGUCUCCUCCCUCUCGCUGUGCUCCCCUCCCCCUCUCCCCCAACCCUCGGUCUCACCCCACUCCCCGCCGCCGGCAUCCCUGGGUUUCUUUCCACCCUAGGGGGGGUCUCUGUGCCCCUCAUUCUCCUCUCUACCUGCCUCUACUUUCACCUCAGAUUUAGCCAGCACCCAUCCUUUCCUGCCUGGGUCCCCCACACACACUGCUAACAUCGCCACUGUGUCUUCUUCCUCUCCUUCUCUCCCCACCCUCUCCUCUUCUCUCUUCUCCCUGCCCCUUUAAAUCUGCCUGGCCCAGCCUCCCCCGUGAUGCUGGGAUGGAGCAAACAUUGAUUUGUGCUGGGAUGGAAUCGGAAUUUUGAUUUUUUUUUCCUUUCCCAACCAUAAGAAGGGAAAAAAAUAAUAAAAAACACCUCCUUUUGAUAGCCCCCUCUCCUUUCCCAUCCAGUUCCCAGCUCCUCUUCCCUAUCUCCAUCCAAGGCAAAAUUUUUCCCCUCCACUAUUCUCAUCCCCCCCCCCCACCCCUGCCACUACCUCGCCCCCCACCCCCAUCGCCUGCUCCUCCAGCUGGGGAGAGAGGGGACUCUCUUGCGGCUCCCCCACCUUCGCUCUCUGGGUAGGAGCAGUCUCUCCGGAAGGGGAGGGGGCUUUGACUUGCCGGGACGAGGUGGGAGUGGAGGUAUCCUGCCAUGGAUGCUGUGCCUGGGAGGCAGCCUGAGCCCCAGCCCACAUGCCACUCAGGAUGAGGGUCCGGCCCUGCCAGCCCGCGCUGGGGCCCCCCCGCCCGGCCCCGGUCUAACUGCCCCCGCCCCCAGGCCUCGCCCCGCUCGCAGGCCCCCAGCCGGCUCUCCAGCCCCAGGAUGCGCUGAGCCGCCGGGGGGCUGAGGCCGCGCCAACUACAUGCAUGUCCCCCGGGGGCAAGUUCGACUUUGACGACGGGGGCUGCUACGUGGGGGGCUGGGAGGCGGGGCGGGCACAUGGCUACGGCGUGUGCACGGGGCCCGGCGCCCAGGGCGAGUACAGCGGCUGCUGGGCGCACGGCUUCGAGUCACUGGGCGUCUUCACGGGGCCCGGCGGACACAGCUACCAGGGCCACUGGCAGCAGGGCAAGCGCGAAGGGCUGGGCGUGGAGCGCAAGAGCCGCUGGACGUACCGCGGCGAGUGGCUGGGCGGGCUGAAGGGGCGCAGCGGCGUGUGGGAGAGCGUGUCGGGCCUGCGCUACGCCGGGCUCUGGAAGGACGGCUUCCAGGACGGCUACGGCACCGAGACCUACUCCGACGGAGGCACCUACCAGGGCCAGUGGCAGGCCGGGAAGCGCCACGGCUACGGGGUGCGCCAGAGUGUGCCCUACCAUCAGGCGGCGCUGCUGCGCUCGCCCCGCCGCACCUCCCUGGACUCCGGCCACAGCGACCCCCCGACACCGCCCCCACCCCUGCCCCUGCCGGGCGACGAGGGAGGCAGCCCGGCCUCAGGCUCCCGGGGCGGCUUCGUGCUGGCCGGGCCGGGGGACGCCGAAGGCGCGUCCACCCGCAAGCGCACUCCCGCGGCCGGCGGGUUCUUCCGCCGCUCGCUGCUGCUCAGCGGGCUCCGGGCUGGCGGGCGCCGCAGCUCCUUGGGCAGCAAGCGGGGCUCCCUGCGCAGCGAGGUGAGCAGUGAGGUGGGCAGCACAGGACCCCCGGGCUCCGAAGCCAGCGGGCCCCCGGCCCCAGCUCCGCCCGCCCUCAUCGAGGGCUCUGCCACUGAGGUGUAUGCGGGCGAAUGGCGCGCCGACCGGCGCAGCGGCUAUGGUGUGAGCCAGCGCUCCAACGGGCUGCGCUACGAGGGCGAGUGGCUGGGCAACCGGCGGCACGGCUACGGACGAACCACCCGCCCGGACGGCUCCCGCGAGGAGGGCAAGUACAAGCGCAACCGGCUGGUGCACGGGGGGCGCGUGCGCAGCCUCCUGCCUCUGGCCCUUCGGCGGGGCAAAGUCAAGGAGAAGGUGGACAGGGCUGUCGAAGGCGCCCGUCGAGCCGUGAGCGCUGCCCGCCAGCGUCAGGAGAUCGCUGCUGCCAGGUGGGCAUCCGCUGCAGAGGCCAAAGCUGGGCUAAGUGGAGAAGGGCGGCAGAUGCCCUUCUAAAGGCAGUGGCAGCCAGCAGCGUCGCUGAGAAGGCUGUGGAGGCAGCUCGAAUGGCCAAACUGAUAGCCCAGGACCUGCAACCCAUGUUAGAGGCCCCAGGCCGCAGACCCCGGCAAGACUCAGAAGGUUCCGACACAGAACCCUUGGAUGAGGACAGCCCUGGGGUAUACGAGAAUGGACUGACCCCCUCAGAGGGCUCCCCUGAACUGCCCAGCAGUCCUGCCUCCUCCCGCCAAC